rnacentral:rRNA from 1 species
AUUGAACGCUGGCGGCAGGCCUAACACAUGCAAGUCGAACGGCAACACGAUGAGGCUUUCUUCUUUCCUGUCGCGAGGCGGGCGGGGGUGAGGAGUCCGUGGGACUGUCCUAUUUCGUGGGAGAACUACUAGAGACGGUAGCUAAAAUCCCAUAACGUAGCUACGGCAAAAAGGAGGGGCUUUUCGGCCCUUGCCCUCGUAAAUGCCCCGAUGUGGGAUUAGCUAGUUGGUGGGGUAAAGGCACACCAAGGCGACGAUCCGUAGCUGGUCUGAGAGGAUGACCAGCCACACUGGAACUGAGACACGGUCCAGACUCCUACGGGAGGCAGCAGUGGGGAAUAUUGGACAAUGGGCGCAAGCCUGAUGCAGCCAUACCGCGUGGGUGAAGAAGGCCUUCGGGUUGUAAAGCACUUUUGGUGGGAAAGAAAAGAAGAAGGUUAAUACCCCGGUGUAUUGACGGUACCCAAAGAAGAAGCACCGGCUAACUUCGUG